UGGAUUGUGAAUCCACCCAUGCGCG
rnacentral:tRNA from 1 species